GAGUAUGGCGAUGUUUGCGGUUAUCAUAUUGAGUAUGGCGAGGUUUACGGUCAUCAUAUCGUGGAGUAUGGCGAGGUGUACGGUCAUCAUAUCGUGGAGUAUGGCGAGGUGUACGGUCAUCAUAUCGUGGAGUAUGGCGAGGUGUACGGUCAUCAUAUCGUGGAGUAUGGCGAGGACUGCGGUCAUCAUAUUGAGUAUUGCGAGAUCCAUCGUCAGGAU